rnacentral:rRNA from 1 species
CCUACGGGAGGCAGCAGUGAGGAAUAUUGGUCAAUGGCCGAAAGGCUGAACCAGCCAAGUAGCGUGAAGGAUGACUGCCCUAUGGUUUGUAAACUUCUUUUAUAGGGGAAUAAAGUUAUCCACGUGUGGAAUUUUGUAUGUACCAUAUGAAUAAGGAUCGGCUAACUCCGUGCCAGCAGCCGCGGUAAUACGGAGGAUCCGAGCGUUAUCCGGAUUUAUUGGGUUUAAAGGGAGCGUAGGUGGGUUGUUAAGUCAGUGGUGAAAGUUUGUGGCUCAACCGUAAAAUUGCCGUUGAAACUGGCAGUCUUGAGUAUAUUUGAGGUAGGCGGAAUGCGUGGUGUAGCGGUGAAAUGCUUAGAUAUCACGAAGAACUCCGAUUGCGAAGGCAGCUUACUAGACUGUAACUGACACUGAGGCUCGAAAGUGUGGGGAUCAAACAGGAUUAGAUACCCGUGUAGUC